AGUCACCCUGCAGUGACCCGGCCAGUACAGCCAUGCCGGGUCUCAGCUCUGCUCACCCGCGCAGCUCCCAGAAACUUCCCCGGCUUGUCUCCACUGGAAUCGGGAUGGAAGGGAGCCACGGCUGGCUCAGCCCCUCUCGGAGCAGAAAGAGGAAACUUCUGAAAAGAAGAUGGGGGCUGGGGGAGGACAUCAAUCAGCACGGACAAGUAAGUACUCAGCGCCAGGUGCCCACGUGGCCAGGAACUAAACAGAUGUGCCUGUGCCUUCGUAAAGGAGGGCAACACAGGUUACAAAAAUAA
rnacentral:lncRNA from 1 species